UCUCACCGCGUCUCUGGGUCACCCCAAGAUGUCUGCGUGGCCGGGUAUGGGUGCUCUGGAAGGAAUGAGAUCCUGCAGCUGCUGCCACCACCAACACUGCAAGCAAAGGAGAAUCAGGGUCUGUGUCCCCAGAGAGAUUUCAAGGUGGAAUGUGGAGGGUUCUCAAAACGCCCUGUUUACAACCUGAAACACGUGCCAGGCACCAGGAUCUGUUCCCAUUCAGUUCUUUCCAAGAAGGUCCUGGAAGAGGCUCAGUUUAACACUCCUCGAGUCCAGGGUUGUGACC